rnacentral:rRNA from 1 species
UACGUAGGGGGCAAGCGUUGUCCGGAUUUAUUGGGCGUAAAGCGCUCGCAGGCGGCUCGAUGCGUCGUGCGUGAAACACCCCGGCUCAACUGGGGAGGGUCGUGCGAUACGGUCGGGCUGGAGGCCAGUAGGGGGAUGCGGAAUUCCGGGUGUAGUGGUGGAAUGCGUAGAUAUGCGGAGGAACACCGAUGGCGAAGGCAAUCCCCUGGGCCUGCACUGACGCUCAUGCACGAAAGCGUGGGGAGCAAACAGG